CGGGAAUUUCGGGCAAUGGGCGAAAGCCUGACCCAGCAACGCCGCGUGAGGGAUGAAGUAUUUCGGUAUGUAAACCUCGAAAGAAUGGGAAGAAUAAAUGACGGUACCAUUUAUAAGCUCCGGCUAACUACGUGCCAGCAGCCGCGGUAAUACGUAGGGAGCAAGCGUUGUUCGGAUUUACUGGGCGUAAAGGGCGCGUAGGCGGCGCGGUAAGUCACUUGUGAAAUCUCUGAGCUUAACUCAGAACGGCCAAGUGAUACUGCUGUGCUAGAGUGCGGAGGAGGCAACCGGAAUUCUUGGUGUAGCGGUGAAAUGCGUUGAUAUCAAGAGGAACACCUGAGGCGAAGGCGGGUUGCUGGGCCGACACUGACGCUGAUGCGCGAAAGCCAGGGGAGCAAACG
rnacentral:rRNA from 1 species